GGGGUUAUAGCUCGGUGGUAGAGCAUGUGUUUGGCAGGCAUGAGGCUCUGGGUUAAAUCUCCAGUACCUCCA
rnacentral:tRNA from 1 species